UACCAUCUGGAAUACUUGAA
rnacentral:snRNA from 1 species